rnacentral:rRNA from 1 species
ACUCAAAUGAAUUGACGGGGGCCCGCACAAGCGGAGGAGCAUGUGGUUUAAUUCGAUGAUACGCGAGGAACCUUACCCGGGCUUGAACGUGAGACGAAUAUAUAAGAGAUUAUAUAGCCUUCGGGCGUCUUGCGAGGUGCUGCAUGGUUGUCGUCAGCUCGUGCCGUGAGGUGUUAGGUUAAGUCCUGCAACGAGCGCAACCCCUACACUUAGUUGCCAGCAUGUCAUGAUGGGGACUCUAAGAGAACUGCCUACGCAAGUAGAGAGGAAGGUGGGGAUGACGUCAAAUCAGCACGGCCCUUAUGUCCGGGGCUACACACGUGCUACAAUGGUAUGUACAGAGGGCAGCCACCUGGUGACAGGGAGCAAAUCCUCAAAACAUAUCUCAGUUCGGAUUGGAGUCUGUAACUCGACUCUAUGAAGUCGGAUUCGCUAGUAAUCGCACAUCAGCCAUGGUGCGGUGAAUACGUUCCCGGGCCUUGUACACACCGCCCGU